AUCUAUGGCCAUGCCACCCUGAAUGUGACAGAUCUCAUCUGAUCUCGGAAGCUAAGCAGGGUUGGGCCCGGUUAGUACUUAGAUGGGAGACCACCUCAGAAUAUCAGAUCCUGUAGGUG
rnacentral:rRNA from 1 species